CCUACGGGAGGCAGCAGUGAGGAAUAUUGGUCAAUGGACGAGAGUCUGAACCAGCCAAGUAGCGUGAAGGAUGACUGCCCUAUGGGUUGUAAACUUCUUUUAUAUGGGAAUAAAAUGUUCCACGUGUGGGAUUUUGUAUGUACCAUAUGAAUAAGGAUCGGCUAACUCCGUGCCAGCAGCCGCGGUAAUACGGAGGAUCCGAGCGUUAUCCGGAAUUAUUGGGUUUAAAGGGAGCGUAGGUGGAUUGUUAAGUCAGUUGUGAAAGUUUGCGGCUCAACCGUAAAAUUGCAGUUGAAACUGGCAGUCUUGAGUACAGUAGAGGUGGGCGGAAUUCGUGGUGUAGCGGUGAAAUGCUUAGAUAUCACGAAGAACUCCGAUUGCGAAGGCAGUUCACUGGACUGCAACUGACACUGAGGCUCGAAAGUGUGGGUAUCAAACAGGAUUAGAUACCCCUGUAGUC
rnacentral:rRNA from 1 species